rnacentral:rRNA from 1 species
AGAGUUUGAUCCUGGCUCAGGAUGAACGCUAGCGGCAGGCCUAAUACAUGCAAGUCGAGGGGUAACAGGGGACUUCGGUUCCGCUGACGACCGGCGCACGGGUGAGUAACGCGUAUGCAACCUACCCUACAGAGGAGGAUAGCCUCGAGAAAUUGAGAUUAAUACUCCAUACGAUAUUGAUAUCACCUGGUAUUAAUAUGAAAGAUUUAUCACUGUGGGAUGGGCAUGCGUGACAUUAGCUUGAUGGUGAGGUAACGGCUCACCAUGGCAACGAUGUCUAGCUGGUCUGAGAGGAUGAUCAGCCACACUGGCACUGAGACACGGGCCAGACUCCUACGGGAGGCAGCAGUAGGGAAUAUUGGUCAAUGGGGGCAACCCUGAACCAGCCAUGCCGCGUGGAGGAAGACUGCCCUCUGGGUUGUAAACUCCUUUUAGCAGGGGCUAAACCUGGGCUAUAUGCCCAGCUGAAGGUACCUGCAGAAUAAGCACCGGCUAACUCCGUGCCAGCAGCCGCGGUAAUACGGAGGGUGCAAGCGUUGUCCGGAUUUAUUGGGUUUAAAGGGUGCGUAGGCGGAAGAAUAAGUCAGUGGUGAAAUCCUGCGGCUCAACCGUAGAACUGCCAUUGAUACUGUUUUUCUUGAGUAAGGUCGAGGUGGUUGGAAUACGUAGUGUAGCGGUGAAAUGCAUAGAUAUUACGUA